rnacentral:tmRNA from 1 species
GGGGAUGUUUUGGUUUUGACAGCAUCGUAGACGGUAGUAAGCACGUCGAGAGUCGGAAGCCCUCUCGCAAAUAUCAGUUUCCAAACAAUUAGUAGGCAACUACAAUUAUUCAUACGCUUGCUAAUCUCAGAGAGAUUGAGCAUUAAUCAGAAUCGCCUAGGCUGCGGUACUGACGUAUAUCCCGCUAAGAUUUUCGCCGGUUCUUUUUAGCAUACGGGGUAUCAUCCAAACCGGAUGCGUGAGCGGACGCCUUUAAAACUCACUAAGACUUAAAGGCUAAGGUGAAGCUUCGCCCGUCUUCCGGCAGGGCUCGCCCGAAAACCAAAGGAAGAAUAAACGUGUAGAAAGCUAUUGGGUAUAAUGUUUGGACGAGGGUUCGAGUCCCUCCAUCUCCACU